CUUAUAUAUAUUAUAUUUAAAAGAUUACGGAACGAUUUUUUUAAAUGAAGAAAUUGUAUUGUGUUUUAUAAUUUCCAUCUUCUAUGGCUAUACUGAACGGAAAACGGAAAAACGGAAAAAAAUUUGCAGAAGAAACAUUGCGAUAAAUAAAAUCCGACAUUUUCUAAAAUACUUGUGAUUAAACGUUAACUAUGAAUUAUAGGUACAUGUUUAUUUUCUUCUCUCAAGAACCUUGCCAAUUUCGAUACGAUUAAAAUUCUAUUUCCGCGUACACCUGACAUCCGUAAGAAAAUACGUUCCCGUGGAAAUUAUUUAUAAUUAUAUUCCGAUGAAAACUGAUGCCUUGUUAAUUAUUAUAAAGUGCUUGAUUGCAAAACUAUUUAAUGUCUUCGUCGUGAAGAUAAUCUUGAGAAAGCUAUAGAAGAAAAAUACCAGAAAAGUCAACGAAAAGUCUUUUCUCGCCUCAGAAGAAACAAUUUUGAUCUCGUCACAGAAGAUGUUGCCUCGUUAUGUCAUGAAGAUUAUGCAAAAACGUGAGAACCUGUUUGGUGUUGCGGCGGUGCGUUUAAACGCGCAAGUUUUACGUACUUACACGCCAAACAUUUUUAAUUCCAUUGUAUUCUCGCAGACCGAGAUGCUUCACGAGAAUGCUUCUUGUCAGCCGUUGUACAUGCAAUGGCAAAGCAGGCCGAUAAUGCGUGGCUAUUGAUGUUUUUCUACACCUGAAGAUCUGCUCUUGCACCAUCAAUCAAUAACGUUGCUUGAAAAUAAUUGACGAUUGUGUAUAACUUGACAAUCGGAAUGAGAAAUAAUGUUAUUGCAAAACAGUCAUUUAUGGAUGUCCAAUGAUAUACCACCCGGAGACAUACUGUUAUUUCUCGCCACCGCCGGUCAUGGCGAAGGUCGGAUCUCCAGACGAGGGACAACCUGUUGACAUAAAAUUCUCACAGUAUCCAUUCCCAAAUUUACCAAUUUUGCCCCCUACUUGUCCCCCACCAACAUUAGCGUCUCCGUUUCCUGAAAACUCAUUUAAACCUCCUACUGAACCGCUUAUUAAAUCUUCUACUGAACCUUCUACUGAAUCUACUGAACCUUCUACCGAUCCUUCUACUUACCCUUCAACCGAAUCUUCUAAAUACUAUUGAUCGAUCGCUGACAAUCAGUGAAGUAAAUCGACGAAGGAAGCAUGUCGAAUCCAAAGAAAAUCGCGUCACCUCCGAAGUGAUAGAACGGCUGUCGGGAGCAUUGGACCUGACUAUCGAUCAUCGCCAACUCGUUUCGGACAUCGCUUCGUGAGGUGUGCGGUCAACGCUGCUACAUACCCAGUGGACCGAGCAAAUCGCAACCAGUCAAGAAUUGAGGAACUCGUGGAAAAGUCGCGAAAAAGUCGCGGGAUGUUCUCAGACGUUUUUCGUCCUUUGAUUUCCAAUCGUGAUUGCGGUUUCUCCUGGGAAGACGGAAGUAGAGUUUCCGAUGAAACGAUUGCUACUUUACGAAUAAUCUCACGAUGAUUGAUGCCAUCGCGAUCUUCCAUGGCGAUAGAUCGAACGAUCGUGAACCGUCACGAGCCAACGUGAUCGGCAAGACCCGCAGGGCGUGUAGCUUCAUCCAUUUCCGAGCGGUCACUCGCGUCUCUCUUGUGAAGACGGACACUGGGUUGUACACGAUCGCUACGCGCGGAUUUUCGUUUCGGACGACACGAAAUUGACGGAGCUUGAUAUUACGAGGCUGCUCUCGCGAGGCAGCUCGAUCAAGCAGAAUCCCGGAGAACGAGAACGUUGCGGCAUUCCGCUUCUGAGACUCCCCUCGAGCCAUCCUUGCUCGGCGAGUUUGUGUCCCGCGUCCUCCUCUCAUGUGUCCGCCCAUUUUAAAUUCGGUGCGAGAACGCGAUGGCAAGAUGCAAAAGCAGCGGCAAGCCCCCGCUGCGGAGAGACGAUCGUAAGUGCGACAGGCGUCAAGCGGAUCCCUGAGGAAUCUAUCCGAUCGUGAGCGACGGUUUUAUUCGCUGGUCCUUCCCAACGACGCGUGUGGCCAAUUUCGCGUGUGGAAAACCGGACACUGGAUGACGGCGGUGACCGCGCAUGCAAGCGAGGCGCUGGCCAAAUUAUUCGACGGACCUAUAGUGAUUUUGACGCUUUCCGCUUUAUUCAUAUAUAUCACGUAUAUAUUGACUACUGCAAACGCUAUUUUCUCAAUUUAUAUAUGUUAUUUAAUGCUACUGGAAGGGGUGCGAAACGUGCAGCUACGCAUGAUCGAGCAUAAUUGAGUAAGACGUUCAAAUUUCAAUCGAUCAUAUAAUACUUAAAUCUAUAUGAUAGAUUUUUUAAAAUUUUUAUGCACAUAUUCUUUUUAUUCCUCAAAGGUCGAAUAAGAAUAUAUCUUUUAUUCUUAUUAAGCAAUAUCCAUGCAAAUCAUACUUGUCCAAUGCUCAAAGAACAGAUAUAUAACAUCUCUUUGCGCCUAAUAUUGUAAAACAUAAGUGUCAUUAUCGCAGCAAUUAACGUGAGUUAAGCAUUAAUCUUGGUGACGAGUAAAGCAUUAAUCUUGAGAUAUCGUGAGUCAAUCCAAUCCCAUAUUAAAAUCCUUUUUUUUUCACGACAAAUGAUAAUAUCAGCCGCUAUUCUUUGAUAAUUAAAACUUUUCGUACGAAGGCGAGCGCAUCUGCGCGCAAAAUCGUGGCGGAUGUGUCAGUUCGUGCGACGUGGUACAAUAAAAUAGCAGCUCAAAAACUGGUCGCUCCAGUUCGCGGCAAAUUAAUUUACAAAUAAGAGCACCGAAAAACACUGUCCCUUCGAUAUACACUCUCAUUCUCUUCUGCUUGCUCCUUUUCUCGAAUGCCCCUCUUCCGUCCCUCUUGCUUCACGCGAAACACGUUUCGAGCAACAAUUUGAUGCAUAGCUUGAUCGCGAAUAUUACCACAGAAUACUUAAUGACUCAUUUCCGUAAAUGAAUUUGCGUUUCAAAAAUGGGCAUGUGCGCCGUGCUGCGUCAGAUUUAUCAUCAUCAUCUCGCUUAAUUUGUAACUAAGGAAUUAAUUUGCAUAUCAACUAAGCUUUCAUGUAUACAAGAUCACACUUGAGAAUUUAUAUUUUAUAUUUAAAAUUUAUGACUAAAAUUUAUUUCGAUACAUAUAAGUGUGUUAUGUCGCUUAGUGGAGUUUUCUGUUUUUUUUUUGCUUAGAUAGUUUAAGAUUAGAAGUUCAACUAGAAUUAAUUUAAUAGUUACACACACACACACACAAUAUAUAUAUAUAUGAUUAUAUAUAUUUUAUUCUCUUAUACAUCGUACUGGGUAUUCUUCAGAUAUUCCAGCAGGCUCGCAUUUGCAUGAAAAACACAACAUCGUUCUACUUUCGCUUUGCGAAUGUCUGAAUCGCGAAGAGAAAUUCUCACGGACACCAUACGACGAUUGACUUUUAAUUAACCAUCGCACAGCAUUACACAAAAUGCACGCACUUCGUGCGAUCCUUUUGUUACGUGUGAGACUCGCGUCAGAUGUCCGUACGAAGACGACGUACGCAGAAACCUAUCCAUGGGUGGCGGCCGAUCCUAUAAUUUUUGGCGUGCUGGUAUUUAUUGUCGUAACCCGCAAUUUUAAUUUAAGGCAGUUCACUUCGACAUCGAUGUAAAUAAAACAGUGCGAUUGGAGCGCAAUCGCGUUAUCAUCUUAAAGCAUCUGACGGGGAAACGGGGCGAACAGGUAAAUCGAAUUACACGACGCGACUUGUUGCAUUUGAUAGAGUUGGAGAGCAUUCUGUUCCAGAUUCGCUAUUCUCAGAAGUUACAUCAAUAUCGUUAAACGAUAUUCGUAACGUUUCCGUGAAACUUAGAAUCGCGAAGUGUCAAGAUAAUGGUCGCUGUAAACGGCAUGCAUUAUUCUCACGUCCGUUACCUUUGCGUGUGAAACAUGUGUCUAUUGUGGGUCGCAUAUAUCUGCACUCACACCUUGUCACCUCGGUCAAGUACGUAUGCGUGCGUUCGCACGCAUGUUUUGCAAAGUGUCAUGUGCAACGACGUCGAAUUCUCUGAUCUUCUAGAAAACAGGAGGACUCAUUUAUAAUUUUUCAGUGGUCUGUAUUGCCGGAAAAACUAAAAGAAAUUCGGAUUUUAUAUAAUUAAUUAGACCGCCGGGUUAUCAAUUAAAUUAAAAUGAGAUAUUUAUCUUAUCUUGACAAUUUAUUUUUUGUCUGUGAAGUAUUCGAGGAAUUCGAAAUUGAAAGGAGAGGUUUAAAUUAAUUUUUAAUUGAUAAUUUUAUUAAAAUUAUUAAAUUGAUUUAUUAAAAUUAAUUAAAAUUCUAUUUUUAUUUGACAAACUUCGCCGUGAUGUAACGCAGGUCUCGUACUUUGAACGUUAAUGUCCACACGUUUCGUUGAGAUAAUCUCUAUAUUUGUCGGCUGUUGCACUUUUCUGAGGUACACUAUUUUAUAGAGAAUGGAGAUUCGACAAAUUCAACACGAACGUGAGGUGCUGCGCUAAAACGCGCGUAACAGAUUCGCUCGACCUUGCGAGUUUUACAUACUGUCGCCAUAUUUUUUUAAGCAAUAACUUUUAACUGUAAUCGUAAUAUAAUCUAUUUUGUAAGUGUAUUGUUAGAGGGGUACACGCGUCCUUUCACUUUAGAUAAAAACACUAUUGCGCUGUAUGAAUAAAAGCGCACACGUUCGAGUCUAAGCGAGUGACGAAGUAUCAGAUUAUAUAUUAUUGGUGUCAACGACGACGAUUAAUUCGGCCUUUAUACAUAUACCUAUCGUUCGUGAUAUCUAUAUUUUUCUUUAAUUAUAAGUACUUAUUGAGGGACGUAUUCGUGAAUAAUUUCCCAAGUAGCAAGCUAAUGUUAUUUAUCGUUAUUUUGAUGUCACAUUAACGUCUUUGACAAUAUUGCAACGUCAAGAUGACGACAAAUAACGUCCGCUUGCUACUUGGGUUUCCGAAGCCAGCUCUCUAAAAGGAAGUAGUUGUUAAUUGCUCCUUUUUCUUUUUCCUAAAAAGCUGGAAUCACAUAAAGCACGAUUUCUUGAAUGAUUAGCUUGCACGCUGCUAUGCCUGCUCUGAUGCAUGCUAGAUCCUAGACAUCAUGCAUUGAGCGAGGCACGUUGGCAUGCAUGAUUGCAUGCACCAAUUAAAACAUUGAAAACAGUCACGAUCGAGCAGACGAUCGACAGCAUCGCAUCUUCAGAAAAGAAACAAUUGUGCUAAUUUCGUAGUACAAGUCAAACGUCAGAUUUGGAUUAAAAAAUAGAGACGUUUAAUUGGUGCAUGCAAUCAUGCAUGCCAGAGUGCUUUAUUCAAUGCGAGAACGUCUAUAGGUCUAGCAUGCAUUGAAUGCAUCAGAGCAGAUAUAGCAGCGUGCAAGCUAAUCAUUCAAGAAAUCGUGCUUCGUGCAAUUCCGGUUUUGAGGAUCGCUCGUUUCACGCAGUUGAAACGAUCGAUGGAGGGAUAGUGUGUUUGAUAUUUGACGUGUAUAUUCUAUAAUAGAGUAUUUUCUAGCACAAGGAGGGUCGUAAAUUCUCUCGGUUGUGAGCGCGGUUGUGAAGAAGAGCUCUCUUGCGAAAUGCGGGGUGCUCGUUCUCCGAUCGAGAAGACUCUUCUAAGCGUUAUUUUACACUUGAUAAUAUUUUCUUUUGUUGGAAAAAUUGUAAUAGACACCAUUUUAGUUAGUAAUCGACAACUAUACGUACAUACAUUGGGAUACUUUUAACCAAUUUAUCUAAAAUGAAUUGUGUAUGUGCGCUGUAACGCAGCUGCAAAGUUAACCUCGUAUGAAUAUUGUUGUUUGAGCUGUUCAAGAUCUAAUAUGAGGCGAAUACGCAAUUUUCAUACUAAAUAAAAAGCUAAAAAAGAUACACCAGCACUUAUGUCUCCGUAUGAAGUGUCGAUCUACACGUAAAAUCGCUAGAUCGUGAGAUCGAUCGCAAUCGAUCGAGGUUUCGCGUCUUUAUUUUCCUGGCUCGCAUCGAACGAGUCAGACCGACAUUGCUAGGGUGUGAAAAAUGUAAAACUUUGCGGAUCGUUUUUAACAGCUCGUAACCAGUGAAACUUUUCGGAAUGAAUUCCGAUCGUUCCUUAAUACGUGCUCAAUAACAGUAUCCGAGUUAAGAAAAGGAAUGGGUAUCUACUUAAUACGACCUAUUUACUUGUUCUAAUAAAUUUGGCUGUUGUAGUUAUUUAACCAACGAUUCGUAGAGAAAGAUAUUGUGUGUUGGAAACGAGUGCGGUGUAAUGACAACGAUCGUAAGAUGUGGACGGUGAUUAUGAUUAUGAUAUUAUGGAAAUGGAAGGGCAGCAUGGAGGAAAAUGAGGAAGCGAAAUAUGGAGCGUACGCGUAUUAUUGUCUAUUGUCUAAGUGUUACGUUAUAUGGCAUAUAAAUAAAACAGUACUGCUAUAUAUAAUCACA